GUAGGGAAUAUUGCGCAAUGGACGAAAGUCUGACGCAGCGACGCCGCGUGAGUGAUGAAGGCCUUAGGGUCGUAAAGCUCUGUUGAAUGGGAAGAAAAAAAUGACGGUACCAUUCGAGGAAGGACCGGCUAACUUCGUGCCAGCAGCCGCGGUAAUACGAGGGGUCCUAGCGUUGUUCGGAAUCAUUGGGCGUAAAGGGUGUGUAGGUGGCCAUGUAAGUCAGGUGUGAAAGCCCCGGGCUCAACCCGGGAAGUGCACUUGAUACUGCGUGGCUUGAGUACCGAAGAGGGUAGUGGAAUUCCAGGUGUAGUGGUGAAAUACGUAGAUAGCUGGAGGAACACCGGUGGCGAAGGCGGCUACCUGGUCGAGUACUGACACUGAGACACGAAAGCAUGGGGAUCAAACAGGAUUAGAAACCCUUGUAGUCC
rnacentral:rRNA from 1 species